AGAAUGACAAAAAAGGCAUUUAAAUUUUUAACGACAUUUUAUGCGUCUGUUUGUGGCAGAGUUAUUGACUUAAGAAGAACCAAAGGAGAUGCUCCAAUCCAAGCAAGAGGGAGGCACCACAAACAGCCGAGUAUCAUUUAUGCUUGGUGGGUGGAGGGGUAAGUCCGUUCGUUCUACGUUUCCCCCUACUUACGAGACUACGAGUGUGUGUGUGACUGUGAUUGAGAUCUUCAACGAAUAAAGGCGAUUUUCUUUGGAGUGUAUGAGGCUGAUGAUGCUUGGCUGGGUACUGUGUGCCUUUUCUGGAUUCUUGUGUGAAUCUCAAGAUGAAGAUGAAGUAUGAUGACAUGUUGGAGAGGUGGGUUGCUCGCUCGCUUGCUCUGUCCGUCUUAUGGCUGGUUGGUUGGUGGUUGGUUUGAGGAAAGAUCUUUAUGGGCUCCCUUGCUGAGGGGUUGACUGUGUGUCCGUCCGUCUGUCAUCCAUCUAUGCAUGGCACUUUGUCACAAUUUUCCAUUGGAUAAGGUGAUGGCGAAGCUAUCAACAUAACCAUCCGUUAGCGACGAUGUUGUCGACGAUGAUAAUUUGAGAAUAAAUUUCAAUUUAGUUGCAAAUUUACAUCCAAAGUGUUAACAUCAACGUGUCAUAAAAAUUCUAUAACAUAAACGAAACAAACAAAAAAAAAAACAGAAACAACAAAACAUGUUUUUAAGUUCACUGACUUGUUGAUACAAAAAUAAAUUAAUAGAAGAUUCCCUUUGGUGAAUUUAACAGCAAACUCAUAUACAUUACACCAAACAUACCCUUCAACAUAUAUAAAUUAAAAAGAAAAAUAAUUCAAAAUUAAUAAAAACCAAAACUGAACCUUGCUGCAAUAGAUCGAAAUGCUUAACCACCAUUGAAGGUAUAAAAUUUAAAGUGUUUUUUACAAAAAAUAGUUAUUUUUAACACAACAAAUUAGCCAAUGCCAAGUAGUUUAUCAAUUUAAUGAAUUAAAUAGCAAACCACAAAAGCAACAAUUGUGAAAAUCAAUGACAACAAUACAACAAAUAGAAAAAGAAAUUCUAAAAUUAAAAAAAAAAUAUAAGCUGAAAUCUCAAAGUGUUCAAACUGAUCGAAAUUCUAGAAAUACAACAACAUUUGAUUCUCAAAAACAACUGCGAGCCAAGGAAGUUUCAAUGGAAUUACACACUUAAGCUCACAUGAUGUUACAUUAGGUGCAAACAGUUACAAGAAUCAAAUUCUAAUCAAAUUCUAAGAAUUUGCAAAAAUAAAACAAGAAAGUGAAAAAGUUUGCUCAAACUAGAGAAACAGAGGGCAAAGGUGAUAAGUUUAGAUAGACCAUCAUCACCACUACCACUAUCACUACAACUACUACUACUCAGCAACAAAGCUAAUGAAAAACUUUUAGACUGAAAAUACUGAGAAAGUUUGGCCAAAGUAAAUCAAGUAAAAAAAAAGUAGCUUACAGUUUGACUGCAGAUGCAAUAGCGAAAAGAAGUUUGAGAACUUUGUGUCAUCGUUCAGUUUUGCAUGGCUCACAUAUCCUAUGAGAAGAGUACGAGUAAGGCAACAAAUCAUGUAAUGCAUAGAUAAAACAUGGCCAAUGUGCAACAAGGACAUAGACAGCAGCACCAACACCACCACCACCACCACUAUCAUCACUAUCAACUCCAGCUACAGCAGCAGCAACUACAACUUUUCCCAAGUAAGUAUCACUAAAAAUCUUAAAAGACUAAGAAUUCUGGCAAAAUUCGUUUAACUUUGAAAAGCAAAGUGCAAAUGACAUGUUGUGCAG
rnacentral:sRNA from 1 species